rnacentral:rRNA from 1 species
AUAGAGACUCAGAGCUGCAUAUCAAUAAGCGGAGGAAAAGAAACUAACAAGGAUUCCCCUAGUAACGGCGAGUGAAGCGAGAAGAGCUCAAAUUUGAAAUCUUCAAGGUUUUACCUUGACGAAUUGUAGUUUAAAGAAGUGUUUUCUGUUGGAGUUUUGGUAAAAGUUCUUUGGAAUAGGACAUCAUAGAGGGUGAGAAUCCCGUAUUUGACCAUUUCUUCCAGCUGUGUGAUACACUUUCAAAGAGUCGGAUUGUUUGGGAAUGCAGUCCAAAAUGGGUGGUAAAUUUCAUCUAAAGCUAAAUAUUGGCGAGAGACCGAUAGCGAACAAGUACCGUGAGGGAAAGAUGAAAAGAACUUUGAAAAGAGAGUUAAACAGUACGUGAAAUUGUCAAAAGGGAAGCGUUUGACACCAGUGUUGUUUUUCCGAAAAUCAAUUAUGAAUGGCUUGAUUUUAAGUUUCAUGACCUUAAAAGCUUGUUGCUUAUUUUUCAUGUCUUUCGUAAUGCACUUUUCGGUUAACAAGUCAACAUCAAUUUCUUUUGUUGUAAAAGGUUAAGAGGAAGGUGGCUUUACUUUCGGGUAAAGUGUUUAUAGCCUUGUACCUCUGCAAUCGGAGAGAUUGAGGUCUGCAGCGUAGAUCCUUCGGGGUUAGAUGCAUUUGUGCUAAGCUAUAGCCUUUCAUAGACAACUUGUUGACUAUGAUCAGUCAUGUAGCUUACUCGCUUAUGCUAUUUUACCUACGCUUAGGAUGUUGAAGAUAUGCGCGACACG